rnacentral:lncRNA from 1 species
AAGGAGUAGGAGGGAGGAGGAUUGAAUCCCCAUUUUCCAGUUGAUGAGGCUGAUAAGGAUGAUGAUCGCGAUGAUCCCAGGCGAGAGGCAGGGAUUUCUUUCCCUGUAGAUCUGCCAUGGGAAACUUUUGCAGACUCUCUUGAGUAGCCGAGGGGGAGAGGGGGACAAGUGCGGAAUUCCCCAGGGAACACCGGUUGAGGCUGGAGCUUCCAAUCCUGAGAUUUUCCUGAGCAAUUCCAACCGUGGAGAAGGGAAUUUGUGUGGCUGCUCCCGUUAAAAGGUGGUCCGUGCACCGCUGCUUGAAUUUCCCAGGAAAAAGAGAAGGAAUCGGGAGAAAUGGAAUCCCAAAGGAUCC